rnacentral:rRNA from 1 species
AACGAACGCUGGCGGCAGGCCUAGCACAUGCAAGUCGAACGCUCUAGCAAUAGAGAGUGGCAGACGGGUGAGUAACGCGUGGGAACCUUCCCUGUGGUGCGGAAUAACUCGCCGAAAGGCGUGCUAAUACCGCAUAAGCCCGCAAGGGGAAAGAUUUAUCGCCAUAGGAUGGGCCCGCGUAGGAUUAGCUAGUUGGUGAGGUAAUGGCUCACCAAGGCGACGACCUUAGCUGGUUUGAGAGAAUGACCAGCCACACUGGGACUGAGACACGGCCCAGACUCCUACGGGAGGCAGCAGUGGGAAUCUUGGACAAUGGGCGCAAGCCUGAUCCAGCCAUGCCGCGUGAGUGACGAAGGCCUU